rnacentral:rRNA from 1 species
AACGAACGCUGGCGGCAGGCCUAACACAUGCAAGUCGAGCGAGGACUUCGGUCCUAGCGGCGGACGGGUGAGUAACGCGUGGGAACGUGCCCUUUGCUUCGGAAUAGCCCUGGGAAACUGGGAGUAAUACCGAAUGUGCCCUUUGGGGGAAAGAUUUAUCGGCAAAGGAUCGGCCCGCGUUGGAUUAGGUAGUUGGUGGGGUAAUGGCCUACCAAGCCGACGAUCCAUAGCUGGUUUGAGAGGAUGUUCAGCCACACUGGGACUGAGACACGGCGCAGACUCCUAAGGGAGGCAGCGGUGGGGAAUCUUAGACAAUGGGCGCAAGCCUGAUCUAGCCAUGCCGCGUGAGCGAUGAAGGCCUUAGGGUUGUAAAGCUCUUUCAGCGAGGAAGAUAAUGACUGUACUCGCAGAAGAAGCCCCGGCUAACUCCGUGCCAGCAGCCGCGGUAAGAC